rnacentral:lncRNA from 1 species
GGUGGUGAUACCGAUAUGGGUGGUGACAUGCCUGGUAGUGGAGGCUCUAGUUAUGGAGGUGGUGGAGCUGGGCCAAAGAUUGAAGAAGUUGACUGAAGAAAUGGAACCAAGUUGGGCAGCUCUGUUUCUUCCGAUUCUGGUUUAAGCUUUGUGUUACUAGUGUUAGUGUAGCCGCCUUUUGUUUUAGUUUGUUGAGCAGAAGUCUUUGUCUUUUUGUUUGGGAGUGGGAUGAGGAAUGAGAUUAUGAAUGCAAGUAUAAUAUUAUAUUGCAAAAUUAUGCAAAUGACUAGGUAAUGUUUCUUUGAAUGGUAGAUAGUUUCAGCUAUAAAUAAAAUUAAUAGCAUAUACUAGUAUUUUAUUUUAUUUUAUUAAAUUGAAUUUAUAUAUUUGAUUGAAUUAUUUAUUUUAAUGAUUAUUUAUUGUUAGAAAUAAAUUUAUACAUGCAAAUUAAAUGAGGAAUGUUAUAUUCGAGUGAUUUUGGCCGCUUUUGACGAAAGGCAUCUUCCACUCUUCCAAGUAAAGAGAGAUUUAAAUUCUUAAGUUUCUUUUCUUUACAUUUGUUGGAAUCU